rnacentral:rRNA from 1 species
GAUGAACGCUGGCGGCGUGCUUAACACAUGCAAGUCGAACGGACGGGCGAGCAUCUUGCUGGUGGCUUGUGGGGCGCGGGCGGGUGAGACACACGAGGAUCCCCAACCUAUGGGACUGGGAUAGCUUCGGGACACCGGAUACAACACCGGAUCAUAUGUUGAACCGCGGGGUUCUUCGGAGAAUGACGGACUUGCUGGCACGUCUAGAGGGUUCCGGGCUGGAUUAGCUAGUUGGUAGGGUAACGGCCUACCACGGCUACGAUGUGUAGCCGACCUGAGAGGGUGAUCGGCCACACUGGAACUGAGACACGGACCAGACUCCUACGGGAGGCAGCAGUCGGGAAUGUUAGGCAAUGGGCGAAAGCCUGACAGAGCAACGCCGCGUGUGUGAUGAAGGCCUUCGGUUCGUAAAGCUCUUUUAGUGGGGACGAACAGGUGUGUACCUAGCCGAGGCUUGGUUGACGGUACCGGAUGAAGAAGCACCGGCUAACUACGUG